UACGGAGGGAGCUAGCGUUAUUCGGAAUUACUGGGCGUAAAGCGCACGUAGGCGGCUUUGUAAGUAAGAGGUGAAAGCCUGGAGCUCAACUCCAGAAUUGCCUUUUAGACUGCAUCGCUUGAAUCAUGGAGAGGUGAGUGGAAUUCCGAGUGUAGAGGUGAAAUUCGUAGAUAUUCGGAAGAACACCAGUGGCGAAGGCGGGCUCACUGG
rnacentral:rRNA from 1 species